rnacentral:rRNA from 1 species
AUAAGCGGAGGAAAAGAAACUAACAAGGAUUCCCCUAGUAACUGCGAGUGAAGCGGGAAAAGCUCAAAUUUAAAAUCUGGCGGUCUUCUGGCCGUCCGAGUUGUAGUCUGGAGAAGCGUUUUCCGCGUUGGACCGUGUACAAGUUUCCUGGAACGGAGCGUCAUAGAGGGUGAGAAUCCCGUCUUUGACACGGACCCCAAUGCUUUGUGAUGCGCUCUCAAAGAGUCGAGUUGUUUGGGAAUGCAGCUCAAAAUGGGUGGUGAAUUCCAUCUAAAGCUAAAUAUUGGCGAGAGACCGAUAGCGAACAAGUACCGUGAGGGAAAGAUGAAAAGCACUUUGGAAAGAGAGUUAAACAGUACGUGAAAUUGUUGAAAGGGAAACGCUUGAAGUCAGUCGCGUCGGCCGGGACUCAGCCUUGCAUCCGCUUGGUGUACUUUCCGGUCGACGGGCCAGCAUCAGUUUUGGCCGCGAGAUAAAGGCGGAGGGAAUGUGGCUCUUUCGGGAGUGUUAUAGCCCUCUGUCAGAUGUCGCGGCUGGGACUGAGGUACUCAGCACGCCUUUAUGGCCGGGGUUCGCCCACGUACGUGCUUAGGAUGCUGGCGUAAUGGCUUUAAACGACCCGUCUUGAAACACGGACCAAGGAGUCUAACAUGCUUGCGAGUGUUCGGGUGGAAAACCCGUGCGCGCAAUGAAAGUGAAAGUUGGGAUCCCUGUCGUGGGGUGCACCGACGCCCGGACCAGACCUUUUGUGACGGAUCUGCGGUAGAGCACGUAUGUUGGGACCCGAAAGAUGGUGAACUAUGCCUGAAUAGGGUGAAGCCAGAGGAAACUCUGGUGGAGGCUCGUAGCGAUUCUGACGUGCAAAUCGAUCGUCAAAUUUGGGUAUAGGGGCGAAAGACUAA